GGUUGUAUAGUGUAGCGGUUAUCAUUCCAGAUUCUGAUUCUAUUUCGAGUAGAACUUUCUGGCGACCCCGGUUCGAUUCCGGGUACGACCU